rnacentral:rRNA from 1 species
AGUGAACGCUGGCGGUAGGCCUAACACAUGCAAGUCGAACGGCAGCACAGUAAGAGCUUGCUCUUACGGGUGGCGAGUGGCGGACGGGUGAGGAAUACAUCGGAAUCUACUUUUUCGUGGGGGAUAACGUAGGGAAACUUACGCUAAUACCGCAUACGACCUACGGGUGAAAGCAGGGGAUCUUCGGACCUUGCGCGAUUGAAUGAGCCGAUGUCGGAUUAGCUAGUUGGCGGGGUAAAGGCCCACCAAGGCGACGAUCCGUAGCUGGUCUGAGAGGAUGAACAGCCACACUGGAACUGAGACACGGUACAGACUCCUACGGGAGGCAGCAGUGGGGAAUAUUGGACAAUGGGCGCAAGCCUGAUCCAGCCAUACCGCGUGGGUGAAGAAGGCCUUCGGGUUGUAAAGCCCUUUUGUUGGGAAAGAAAACCAGCAGGUUAAUACCCCGCUGUUCUGACGGUACCCAAAGAAUAAGCACCGGCUAACUUCGUG